rnacentral:rRNA from 1 species
AAACGCUUGAAGUCAGUCGCAUCGACCGAGACUCAGCCUUGCCUCGGCUUGGUGUACUUCUCGGCUGAUGGGUCAGCAUCGAUUUCGACCCUUGGAUAAUGGUGGGGGAAAGGUGGCACCUUUACCGGUGUGUUAUAGUCCUCU